GAUGAACGCUGGCGGCGUGCCUAAUACAUGCAAGUCGAGCGAAUGGAUUAAGGGCUUGCUCUUAUGAAGUUAGCGGCGGACGGGUGAGUAACACGUGGGUAACCUGCCCAUAAGACUGGGAUAACUCCGGGAAACCGGGGCUACUACCGGAUAACAUUUUGAACCGCAUGGUUCGAAAUUGAAAGGCGGCUUCGGCUGUCACUUAGGGAUGGACCCGCGUCGCAUUAGCUAGUUGGUGAGGUAACGGCUCACCAAGGCAACGAUGCGUAGCCGACCUGAGAGGGUGAUCGGCCACACUGGGACUGAGACACGGCCCAGACUCCUACGGGAGGCAGCAGUAGGGAAUCUUCCGCAAUGGACGAAAGUCUGACGGAGCAACGCCGCGUGAGUGAUGAAGGCUUUCGGGUCGUAAAACUCUGUUGCUAGGGAAGAACAAGUGCUAGUUGAAUAAGCUGGCACCUUGACGGUACCUAACCAGAAAGCCACGGCUAACUACGUGCCAGCAGCCGCGGUAA
rnacentral:rRNA from 1 species